UACGGGGGGAGCAAGCGUUGUUCGGAUUUACUGGGCGUAAAGGGCGCGUAGGCGGUCGUGACAAGUCACUUGUGAAAUCUCCGGGCUUAACUCGGAACGGUCAAGUGAUACUGUCGGACUAGAGUACAGAAGGGGGCAACUGGAAUUCUCGGGUGUAGCGGUGAAAUGCGUAGAUAUCGAGAGGGAACACCUGCGGCGAAGGCGGGUUGCUGGGCUGACACUGACGCUGGAGGCGCGAAAGCUAGGGGAGCGAACGGG
rnacentral:rRNA from 1 species